rnacentral:lncRNA from 10 species
CUGGUUUCUAUUGAUUUGAUUCUUUAGAUCCUCAUAAUCAAAUUACCUAAUUCUCCCCUGUCUUUAGUAUCUGCAGUAGCGUUUCUAAAUCUUUUUAUUUGCCCUGCACCUAUUUGAAAAUCUGGUGAAGGUUUUCUUAGAAUAAUGUUUUAACAUGUAUAUAAUAAAAUACAUAGGAUUACGAAGAAAGCCAAUUAUAUUGAAAUGUAGAAUCAAAGUAUUAAACAAUUUUAUGAUAUAAUAAUUAUGUGCUUCCUUAUUUAUGCAUUAAAUAACACUAGUUAAUGGUGGGUCUAAUACCUACCUACCAUCAUUAAGUUGUGAUCUACCUAAAUAAUAGGUCAAGAUUUCAAGAACAAUCAUAGUGAGAUAUGAAAAUGUCUGAUUUUGAUUGAUGACAAAGUUACAGUUAUUCCUUUAAAUUACUGAUUAUUUUCCUACAUCCAUAAUUGAAGGAAAUUGCUAUUUUUUAGGUAGAGGUUGAUAAAACUAAGGGUAUCUUUUUUUUCCUGUCGGAGUUCCUGAACUACCUGAAUUCUAUCCAUGGCCCCACUAGGAAGUUAUGAAGAUUUAACACUCCUGCCUUGGAAUAACACAAAUGCUCUCUGAGAACUCAAUUCUCCCUUGAGAGAGACCUGCCCUGGCACUAUGGAAUAAGCAUGCUACGUUAACUUUCUAAAGGCCACUGGGGAACAAUUUACUGAACUGCAAACUUAAAGCCUCUGGAGAAACAGUACAGCACAGAGUGUGUCCUAAGGAACUUAAAGGAUGGAGUUGCUAUGUACAGAGAUGAGGAAGACUGCAGGAGCCCGAGUUUGUGGUGAGGAUGGGAAAUUAGAAGAUCAAAUAUGGACAAGAUUGUUGCAGCCGUGCAACUAAUCCUGCCUAAUGAGGUUCUUAUGAGUUGACUUGUGUUCCUCAAAAGGAUAUGCUGAAUUCCUUAACUCUAGUACUUUGGAAUGUGACCUUGUUUGGAAAUAAGGUCUUUGCAGUUGUAAUAAAAUAAGGUCCUUUUGGAGUGUGGGAGCUCAAUCCAAUGGCUGGUGUUUUUAUAAGAAGAGGAGAUGAGACACAGAAAGUGCCAUGUGAGGACACAAACAAAGGAAGAACACCAUGUAAUGACAGAGGCAGAGAUCUUCGUGACGCAGCUGCAAGGAAGGAACGUCGAGCAUUGAGCUGCUGACGGUGGCCCUCAAAGGAGGAAAGGAGGGAUUCCACCCAGGAUCUCAGAGAGAGCAUAGCUCUGCUGACACCUUGAUUUUGAACUUCUAGCCUCCAUCACUGUGGGAAAAUAGACUUCUGUUAUUUUAAAAAACCUGGUUUUUACAUGUUAUUACAGAAGACUUAGGGACCUAAUACAGAGGUAUAAGAAAAAGUUUUCAGGAGGAAUUUCUGGGAAUACUUCUUUAUAUGAGGCUUACAUUUAACUGGAAAUCUGACCAUGUUAAUCUGUGCUCCAGCUAGCACGUUAAAGCAUGUGGCAUAUGUGAGGAUGGGAUCCACAUCCUAGGGAUGGUAAGAGAACUGUGGAAUAAGCCUGGGUAGAUGGGUCAUGUUGUAAAGCUGCUAUACUAGUCCUGGAAGCCCUACCUCUGGCCUUCUUUAAUAUGAUAUUUAAAUAAACCUCUGUCUUAUGUAAGCAUAGCACUGUUUUUUUUUUUUUUUUU